rnacentral:rRNA from 1 species
CCUACGGGGGGCUGCAGUGGGGAAUAUUGGACAAUGGGGGGAACCCUGAUCCAGCCAUGCCGCGUGUGUGAAGAAGGCCCUCGGGUUGUAAAGCACUUUCAGUGAGGAAGAACGCCUGGUGGUUAAUACCCAUCAGGAAAGACAUCACUCACAGAAGAAGCACCGGCUAACUCCGUGCCAGCAGCCGCGGUAAUACGGAGGGUGCGAGCGUUAAUCGGAAUUACUGGGCGUAAAGCGCGCGUAGGUGGCUUGAUAAGCCGGUUGUGAAAGCCCCGGGCUCAACCUGGGAACGGCAUCCGGAACUGUCAAGGUAGAGUGCAGGAGAGGAAGGUAGAAUUCCCGGUGGAGCGGUGAAAUGCGUAGAGAUCGGGAGGAAUACCAGUGGCGAAGGCGGCCUUCUGGACUGACACUGACACUGAGGUGCGAAAGCGUGGGUAGCAAACAGGAUUAGAUACCCUGGUAGUC